GAGAAGCAUUGCCAUUUUAGGUUUCUAGUACCUGAAAACUGCAGUCCUGGAAGCUGGAAUCUUUUAAAUGGAAAGCAAGACAGAAAUGACAGUGGUACACAAUGAAAGAAUAACUUCUGGGACCAGGUAUUCAAGUCUCUUAGUUCUGGAUCAAGCAAGCAAAUUAAGGUAAAACCCAGAGGGACAAAUAUACUGCACAGAUCAGCUUGGAAAGCAUCCUUUUAUAGAAACAAAUGGGGAAGUAAAACAGUGCUUUAAAAGUGCAUUAAGUAUACUUUAUUCCUCAGCUCAGAGUUAAUUCAAGCAAUAAACUCACAGAUUUCACACAAGUUAAAGCUUCCUACAAAUCUCACAACUGAGUUCCCUACUGAACCUCAGGGGAAGCUUUUAUAAUGAUAACUCCCUUCCCCCCCUCCAAGAUGACCUGGAAAUGCUUAAAGAAUUGUGCUCCUAAGACUUUUUUUUAUUAUUGUUAUUACCUGUGUUUUUCUCUGAACCAGGUAUAUAAAAGAGAGGGGAUUUCCCCUUCCACCAAUUAAAACUCAAAUCUCACCUCUCCUUUCUUCCCCCACAACAAGAAGUUAACCCCUGCUGAGCUUUUUACCCCCAAGGCAUCUAUAAAGCCUCACAGGUGAGCUUGCUGCAGUAAAUAGAAUGAAUCAGCCCCAGAUCUUCUAACAGAUAAACACCAAUCUUUUAUUCUAGCCACCUGGCUUGGGACUUAUCAGACAAGAAAAUGGCUGUGGUUCGAGUUAGGUGGAUUUUCUUCUCUUUUGCAAUAUUCUUCCUUUUGUAUUUUCUUCCCUUUACCAAGCACUCUUGGGAGAAAAUGUGCUUUGGAACAUCUUCAAGCUGGGAAUUUUCUUUCUGAAAAGUCACAUUGUGAUGUUUUUUUUGCAGGAAGUUACCUUGUUUUCUGUAGUCUCUGUCUCUUACAGUCUUUCAGUUGUCUCAGAACUCUUAUUUCACCAAGUCCUUGAAAUAUGGGUGAGUUUGUCACACCUGGACAGAAGUAGUAUGAAAAUAUUUUCAUUAAACACACCAAAAGCAGAAGAAUCUUUCCACAGCAGUGAUUUUGCAUGAAGAACUGGAACAAUGAAGUCAGAACAGUGCAAAGAGUAAAGGUGGUCCCUCCACCCCUUUUUGUCAAUGUUUGCCCUUGUGCAUGCCACUCUCCAAGACCUUCCUGCCUUAGGACUCUUAAACUGAGAAUCUUGUCUUUUGGUUCAGGUACUUUUUUUUUUUUUUUCCGAAUUUGACAAUAAAUUAACAACAAAGGAUUGAGAGGAAUAUACU
rnacentral:lncRNA from 1 species